AGCUCGACCGGGUCGACGGAGCGGGUCACCACCAGGUAGUCACGCAGCGCGAUGCUGUGUCGGUUCUC
rnacentral:sRNA from 1 species